CAAUAGCGUAUAUUAAAGUUGUUGCGGUUAAAAAGCUCGUAGUUGGAUUUCUGUCGAAAACGGCCGGUCCGCACUAUGUGCGUGUAUCUGGUUCGGUUUUGGCAUCCUCAUGAAGAACGUAACUGCGCUUGAUUGCGUGGUGCGGUAUUCAUGACUUUACUUUGAGGAAAUUAGAGUGUUCACGGCAGGCCUCCGCCUUGAAUAUAUUAGCAUGGAAUAAUAAUAUAGGACCUUGGUUCUAUUUUGUUGGUUUCUAGAGCUAAGGUAAUGAUUAAUAGGGAUAAUUGGGGGCAUUCGUAUUAACGCGUCAGAGGUGGAAUUCUUGGAUUGCGUUACGACGAACUACUGCGAAAGCAUUUGCCAAGGAUGUUUUUCAUUGAUCAAGAACGAAAGUAAGGGGAUCGAAGACGAUCAGAU
rnacentral:rRNA from 1 species